UACGUAGGGUGCGAGCGUUGUCCGGAAUUAUUGGGCGUAAAGGGCUCGUAGGCGGUUUGUCGCGUCGGGAGUAAAAACUCAGGGCUUAACCCUGAGCCUGCUUCCGAUACGGGCAGACUAGAGGUAUGCAGGGGAGAACGGAAUUCCUGGUGUAGCGGUGAAAUGCGCAGAUAUCAGGAGGAACACCGGUGGCGAAGGCGGUUCUCUGGGCAUUACCUGACGCUGAGGAGCGAAAGUGUGGGGAGCGAACAGG
rnacentral:rRNA from 1 species